GCAUCUGUUGUAGUUUGGGAAUUACGUCUGCCUUCCAAGCAGAAGAUGCGAGUUCGAUUCUCGCCAGAUGCUCCA
rnacentral:tRNA from 1 species